rnacentral:lncRNA from 1 species
UGGCCCAGGCACUGGAGGAGUUUGCAGUUUCCUUUCCAGAUCAUUUUACAAAUGAGGAAAUGGAGGCCAACGGGGUCCAGCGAGUGGCUUGGCUAGUCAGUAUCUGCGGCCAGAGCCGAAGGCAGGAACAAGAGCCUUCCUGCCUCCAGGUCCCGCUCUGUAUCCCCUGAGCCGGCUUCUCUAGCCUACAAGGAGUGAACCUGCCCUCAGAUCACCCCCGGGGGAUCCCCAAAUAGAGGGGUUCAGGGCGAAUUUGCGAUGGCACUCUUCUUCAGAAGCACCCAUUUAGUGGGGCUUCUGCCCAUUUCUUACCUUCCUUGUACCUAGAGGCGUUAUGGGGGUGGCCAUCUUUUCUCACCCUUGAUCACCCACGCUCCCUCCAGGGCGCUCCUCAGGCCAACUUGGUGGGCUGCUUAAAUCGCCCAGGGCUGGACUCCUCUGGCUCUAGGUGGGGGAUGGGUCAGGGGCUGGCUGCGGACUUCUAGAUCUUUGUGAAUCCUCAGAGAAGGGAAAGUUUUGUAGUGGCCCUGUAGACACCUCUCUUUUAUGAGGUUUUUCUUUUUGGCUCAAAGCUUACCCUUCACUUCACUGCCCUCCCAUUCACCCGGACUGAACAACUUCUCCGUCUCCGUCUUCCUUGGCUUGGCGCUCCCAUCCAUCACACGGAAUCAGGCAGUCACCGAGUCCUGUUUGAUUCUGAACAACAUCUUACGACUGCACCUCAGAGCUCUUUCAGCCUUCUCCCAGACAGAGGAAGUUACUUUUCGCUGGCAUCAGUCUUUGACCCGUGUAAGUUUUGAGAGGACAAACUGACUUUACCUGAAUGUCAGUCACCUUUCCUUAGUUCCCAUGUAGCCUCAUGCCCUACCCCAAAUGGAGAGAUACAACAAUCUGGCUCCAUGCCCCAGUUUUCUCUGUUCCUUAGUUCUCUGACUGAGCAGUGAUGAAAUAGAUCGGGGACAGCGGUCCUCUAUCUUAGCAAGCUUAUGCUUUCUUAUAUUCCUUCCUCAGCUACAUAGGCUGAGAGAGGGCAGAGUUGAGUUCUCUUGCUUGUUGCCUUAAAAUGAUAGGGAGAGG